GGGGAAUUUUGGACAAUGGGCGCAAGCCUGAUCCAGCAAUGCCGCGUGCAGGAUGAAGGCCUUCGGGUUGUAAACUGCUUUUGUACGGAGCGAAACGGUCUUCUCUAAUACAGGAGGCUAAUGACGGUACCGUAAGAAUAAGCACCGGCUAACUACGUGCCAGCAGCCGCGGUAAUACGUAGGGUGCGAGCGUUAAUCGGAAUUACUGGGCGUAAAGCGUGCGCAGGCGGUUUUGUAAGACAGAUGUGAAAUCCCCGGGCUUAACCUGGGACCUGCAUUUGUGACUGCAAGGCUGGAGUGCGGCAGAGGGGGAUGGAAUUCCGCGUGUAGCAGUGAAAUGCGUAGAUAUGCGGAGGAACACCGAUGGCGAAGGCAAUCCCCUGGGCCUGCACUGACGCUCAUGCACGAAAGCGUGGGGAGCAAAC
rnacentral:rRNA from 1 species